rnacentral:rRNA from 1 species
UGAGGAAUAUUGGUCAAUGGACGAGAGUCUGAACCGGCCAAGUCGCGUGAAGGAUGAAGGUUCUAUGGAUUGUAAACUUCUUUUGUACAGGGGGUAAAACACCUACGUGUAGAGUCUUGCAAGUACUGUACGAAUAAGCAUCGGCUAACUCCGUGCCAGCAGCCGCGGUAAUACGGAGGAUGCGAGCGUUAUCCGGAUUUAUUGGGUUUAAAGGGUGCGUAGGCGGUUUAUUAAGUCAGCGGUGAAAGUUUGAGGCUCAACCUUAAAUUGCCGUUGAAACGGUAGACUUGAGUAUAGAUGAAGUAGGCGGAAUUAGUGGUGAGCGGUGAAAUGCAUAGAUAUCACUAGGAACUCCGAUAGCGAAGGCAGCUUACU